rnacentral:rRNA from 1 species
UACGGAGGGAGCUAGCGUUGUUCGGAAUUACUGGGCGUAAAGCGCACGUAGGCGGCUUUGCAAGUUAGAGGUGAAAGCCCGGGGCUCAACUCCGGAAUUGCCUUUAAAACUGCAUCGCUAGAGUUGUGGAGAGGUAAGUGGAAUUCCGAGUGUAGAGGUGAAAUGUGUAGAGAUCCGGAGGAAUACCAGUGGCGCAAGCGGCGCCCUGGGUCGGUACUGACGCUGAGAUACGAAAGCGUGGGGAGCGAACGGG